CUCAAAGGAAUUGACGGGGACCCGCACAAGCGGUGGAGCAUGUGGUUUAAUUCGAAGCAACGCGAAGAACCUUACCAAAUCUUGACAUCCUUUGACCACUCUAGAGAUAGAGCUUUCCCCUUCGGGGGACAAAGUGACAGGUGGUGCAUGGUUGUCGUCAGCUCGUGUCGUGAGAUGUUGGGUUAAGUCCCGCAACGAGCGCAACCCUUGAUCUUAGUUGCCAUCAUUUAGUUGGGCACUCUAGGUUGACUGCCGGUGACAAACCGGAGGAAGGUGGGGAUGACGUCAAAUCAUCAUGCCCCUUAUGAUUUGGGCUACACACGUGCUACAAUGGAUAAUACAAAGGGCAGCGAAUCCGCGAGGCCAAGCAAAUCCCAUAAAAUUAUUCUCAGUUCGGAUUGUAGUCUGCAACUCGACUACAUGAAGCUGGAAUCGCUAGUAAUCGUAGAUCAGCAUGCUACGGUGAAUACGUUCCCGGGUCUUGUACACACCGCCCGUCACACCACGAGAGUUUGUAACACCCGAAGCCGGUGGAGUAACCUUUUAGGAGCUAGCCGUCGAAGGUGGGACAAAUGAUUGGGGUGAAGUCGUAACAAGGUAGC
rnacentral:rRNA from 1 species